ensembl:lncRNA
GUGGUAAGUGAUGUGCACCAAGAGAAUGUUACCUCUCUUAUAGACUGGGAACCAAUAACCAGCCUUUCUGAGGAAGCUGACCCAUACUGUCACAUCACCACUAGACACAACUAAAGUGGCAUCACAGAGAUAACCACCCUGUUGACCUCUUUGUAUCUAGAUCCACCAGGAGAAGAACAGCGGCCACUGCUGGAUGAGGAUGAGGAUGCUGAAGGAAUCACGAUGGUGGAACAAAUCCAGGAAUUUCAGUUAAAGAUGGAGACCUUGGAAAACCGGCUCAAAGACACAAUUGACAACACACUCAAUAGGGAGGAGGGGCUCAGAGCAUCUAUUGAGACAAUGGUUAAGGAGGCUAAAGAGUGUGUUGACAUUAAAUUGCAGAGAUUUGAUCAGGUGUUGGUGGACUGCUUAAAGCGAAGAGAUAAGCGGUGGGGUGAAGAACUGGAAAAGACGCGCAACAAAAAUCGUUCUUCUUGGAGGCCAGCUAGUUUCUCAACUGGGAAGAAUUCAAAAGAGCUUUCCUUGAGGCUUUCCUGCCCACUGAUUACCAGACAGAGAUUGAGGAUCAGCUCCGCUCACAGGUGCAGUCACCCACCCAGUGCAUUCAGGAUUUUGCCUAUGAUCAUCGAGCACUUUGUCUUAAGUGGAGACCAGACAUGUUGGAAGACGAGAUUGUGCGGCGCAUCCUUAGUGCAUGUAACCCAAGGUUGGCCAGUGGCAGUGAUGAAUGAGGCCAGUACUAAGCUUCCUCCAGUUCCGCUUUUUGAUGCACAGCCUGAGCUGGUUAGACCACUGCUGCAGAAGUGGCCUACAGUUUGGACAGAUUCCACCGGUGCUACAGAUGUCAUAAAGCAUAAGAUCUUGACUACAGACGAGCUGCCAGUACGGAAGAGAGCAUAUAGAGUGUCACCACAAAAGCAAGCAGUUAUUGAGGAACAGAUUAAGAAAAUGCUAAAAAAUGGUGUUAUAGAGCCUUCCACUUCAGCUUGGGCCUCCCCAG